AAAAUGGUUGAUAUAAGAUAUAUCAACUAUAAUAGUGUAGUUAUCAAUAAAAAGGAAUUGUGCGUUUUCAGGUGUAAUUGUUUUGUUAAAUGUAAGGGAAUAAAGUUUACAGCUGUGUUGUAAUAGAUAGAUCUGUUUAUUGACUAGUCCACUGACAAUAUCAACAAUAAAAGACAAAAAAUAAAGAAUACAAAGACAAAUAAACACUAAUCACUAUCGUAAAACUCCUCUAAUAGUUAACUAAAAUAAAUUAAAACACAGUAAAACUUGAUUAAAUUAAUAAUUUUGGUAAAACAGGAUUAAAUUACAAUGAUAUCUGUCUUACAAAUGUUGCAAUAUAGUAAUUUCCAGAUGAAGCUUUGAAUUUGUUUUAUUAUGACAUUCAAACCAAUUGAGCUAAAUCAGAACAUUUUAUCUGUAGAGUGCUUCCCAAGCUUUAGGACACAAAAUCGGAUGUUAACCAAUAGAUUAAGAUGAUCUUAAAAUUUAAUCCAUUUUAAAUUUAAGAACACUAGGGUCAGAAUUACUGGUGUUGUGAUUUGAUCCACUAAUGUAAAUGAAUAAUUUUGUGUGAUACAUGCUUAGCUUAAACUUUGUGGCUAAGCAGAUCUUUUUUUUUUUAACGUGUGUGCUCUUCAUCUUUAGGAGGAAAUAUGCUGCAUGCAGAAUUUUGUAAUAGUGCAAUUUUGUAUUAUUACAUUACAUCAGAGUUUAAGAAAGGAAUCCAAAAUCUUUCUUCUUGUUGAAAUUUUUUCUGUUUCUCCUGUCAAGGGUCAAGGGGCAAUAACUGAAAAGUUGAGGAGUUUCAGUAUGCAGGACCUAACUGCUAUACAAGGUGAUGAACCAGUGGGACAGCGGCCCUACCAGACAUUACCUGAUACCAAAAGGAGAGGCAAAAGCUCCAACACCAGUGAAAACCUAGGUUACAGUAUUCCAGUGAAAAAUGAUUCUGAAGAUGAUAAAACAGAUGAGGAGAGGGAAGGGACCUACUCAGAAGAUGAGAUGUUUACUCAGAGAGGUCUCCGGAGAACACAAAGCAUGAGAUCUGUAAAAACAAUCAAAGGUCGCAAAGAGGCAAGUAAAUAUUUUUAAUUAAUAUAAAGUUCUAUGGAAAGAUAAUCACUUUGACUAUUAUUCUAAAGAGUUUACAUACUACUGUAGUGUCAGGACCCAGGCAGCAGAGCACCAAUAACCAUACACAGAGGCCAGAAUCUAUCUAAUAUCUUUAUUAAGGAAAUAUGUAAAGUUAAUAAAAGCAAGCGUAUGAAUUAGUCCAGGAGUAGACCUUUCAGGAAAGGUCAAAAUUAGUCCAAAGAAGCAAUGUCCAAUAUGAAAUAUUAAGGUCCAAAGUUGUAAUCCAAUAACCGAAACACUCACUUUGCCAGGCAAAGUGAGG
rnacentral:lncRNA from 11 species